rnacentral:lncRNA from 1 species
CUUUUCAUUCCCGUUGUUAUGGAGGUAGGCUCUCUAGGAAUCUGGGAGUAGUAGCUGGGGGGCAAGAGCAAAUAAAGAGCUCGAGCUUCUGUGGUCUCUGGGGAGAUGUUCCCGGGAAGCCUGUCUAGAGGGCGGAGGGCAGCUGUUGAGAUGGCGUGGCUCCCCGGCUCCUGCGCCCGCGUGGCUUUCGCGGCGGGCGCUGCGGCCCGGUAUUGGACAGCCUGGCAGGGCAGCGCGGGGCCGAAUCCGGCUGCCGUGGCUGAGGCUCAUGGAUCACUCUUUUGUGGUAGGGCCACAUCUGCCAGAGCCUGGAGUCUGCGAAGGCCGGGACCCGGUUCCCCGGCCCACAGUGGGGGUGUGCAAACCCGAGAGAACUGGAUUGCGUACCCACUGCAGAGUGCUGAAGACGGGGUAGCCACGAGGUUGCAAAUUCGUGAAGAAUCAGCAUCAUGUUUGGCAGCUGAGUAUUGGAGCCAGGAGCCUGCCAUGAGGUUUUGAGAACAGAGUGCUGUUUUAGAGCUGGCAGCAGCAUCUCAGCCCAAGAGAAGGUUAUAUUCCCAGAGGAUGUCAGUCCCAAGGACCAGUAGCUGCCAUCAGUUUGGAUUCUGAAAACUAACUGGCAUCAACACUGGGUGUAGAAACAUGCUUGCCUUAUGUAUCAGAGGACAUGCUCAGCAGAUCCAAGAGAUAUAUUUGGCAACUUUUUCUAGAAAAGGCACAUUGGGUAUCAUUCAUUACAUUCUUGAGUUUUUUUGGGUUUUUUUUUUUUUUUUUGAGACAGUCUUGCUGUAUUGCCCAGGCUGGAGUGUGGUGGCACAAUCACAGCUCAUUGCAUCCUCAAUCACCCAGGCCUAAGCAAUCCUCCCACCUUGUAGCUGGGACUACAGCUCACAGCACACCUGGCUAAAAUUUUUUUUUUGUUGAGACGGAUUCUCUAUGUUGCCCAGGCUGGUCUCAGGCUCCUGGGCUCAGAUGGUCCUCCUGCCUCAGCUUCCAAAGGCACAGGCCAAGUUGUAGCUUUGUCCCUUGCCAUCAUGCCCAACAAGAGGUUCUAUACCUUUUAAUGAAUUGACUUUCAUAAAUUGGUUAUGUUGGUGGGCAAAGUUCUUUAAGCUGGAAAUUGUAAAUUCCUCCUGAAAUGUUUUUUCAUGCAGUUACCAUGAACUAAUACUACAAUAAAGGAUGGUCUUGGGUGUCAAUUCUUGAAAA